rnacentral:rRNA from 1 species
UACGUAGGGGGCAAGCGUUGUCCGGAAUCAUUGGGCGUAAAGAGCGUGUAGGCGGCCCGGUAAGUCCGCUGUGAAAGUCCAGGGCUCAACCCUGGGAUGCCGGUGGAUACUGUCGGGCUAGAGGGUGGUAGAGGCGAGUGGAAUUCACGGUGUAGCAGUGAAAUGCGUAGAGCUCGUGAGGAAGACCGGUGGCGAAGGCGGAUCUCUGGACGGCCCCUGACGCUGAGGCGCGAAGGCUAGGGGAGCAAACGGG